rnacentral:misc_RNA from 1 species
AACGCAGGCCGCACCUUGUAGCAUCAUUCUGUGUUGCUGCAAGGUAUACACGUAUGAGUGUCAGUCCAAUAUCAUUUUGGUUCAAGAGGAUAAUAUAGAAUUUUUCUUUAUGAAUACUCUUGGAUACAUAUUUAUAAUUUUUUUAUUAAAAAUAUGUCUGGCCUCAUAUGUGUAAGGUUACCCGCUGGAUUUAA